CUCUCUCUCUCUCAACACAACCGAACUAACAUCCCUCACUCUCUCUCUUACCACAAAAUGGCUCCCAUCAAGGUCGGCAUCAACGGCUUCGGCCGCAUUGGCCGCAUGGUGUUCCAGGCCAUCUGUGACCAGGGCCUUAUCGGCACCGAGAUCGACGUCGUCGCCGUGGUGGACAUGAGCACGAAUGCUGAAUACUUCGCGUACCAGAUGAAGCACGACACGGUGCACGGCCGCCCGAAGUACACGGUGGAGGCUGUGAAGAGCAGUCCGUCCGUGAAGACGGCGGAUGUGCUUGUGGUGAACGGCCACCACAUCAAGUGCGUGAAGGCGCAGCGCAACCCCGCGGAUUUGCCGUGGGGCAAGCUCGGCGUGGACUACGUGAUUGAGUCUACUGGCCUGUUCACGGACAAGUUGCAGGCCGAGGGCCACAUCAAGGGUGGCGCGAAGAAGGUCGUGAUCAGCGCUCCGGCGUCUGGCGGCGCCAAGACAAUCGUGAUGGGCGUGAACCAGCACGAGUACUCGCCGACGACGCACCACGUGGUGUCGAACGCGUCGUGCACGACCAACUGCCUGGCCCCCAUCGUGCAUGUGCUGACAAAGGAGAACUUCGGCAUCGAGACUGGUCUGAUGACCACCAUCCACUCCUACACGGCGACGCAGAAGACGGUGGACGGCGUGUCGCUGAAGGACUGGCGCGGCGGCCGCGCGGCGGCCAUGAACAUCAUCCCGAGUACGACCGGCGCCGCCAAGGCUGUGGGCAUGGUGAUCCCGUCGACCAAGGGCAAGCUGACCGGCAUGUCCUUCCGCGUACCGACGCCGGACGUGUCCGUCGUGGACCUGACGUUCCGCGCGACGCGCGACACGUCGAUCCAGGAGAUAGACAAGGCCAUCAAGAAGGCGGCGCAGACGUACAUGAAGGGCAUUCUCGGCUUCACCGACGACGAACUCGUCAGCUCUGACUUCAUCAACGACAACCGCAGCUCGGUCUACGACUCCAAGGCGACACUGCAGAACAACCUACCCGGCGAGAGGCGGUUCUUCAAGAUCGUGUCGUGGUAUGACAACGAGUGGGGCUACUCGCACCGCGUGGUGGACCUGGUGCGCUACAUGGCUGCCAAGGACGCUGCCAGCGCGAAGAUGUAAGCCGUGCACACAGCCCUUCCCCCAACCCCGACAGCGGCAGUGUGGGACUCGGUGCUCCCACAAGCGCGUGGCACGAGCUAUGUGCUAGCGUGUGACCAGUGGGCUGUCAUGCCAUGUCGGUCUCCCCGUGAGCAGCUAAAAAAAGGAAAACGUGCUUUUUCCCUCUUUCCCAUAUUUUUCCUUUUUGCUAAGUGGAUCCUUCAGCAGCUCCCAGCGCCGCACGCACGCGCCAGCGUGCGUGCGAGGGCGUCGGUGCAUUCAUUUUCUAUUUUCUCACGCACCCGGUGCAGCGCGGCGCAAUGCAACGGCACACGCACGCGCUGUCGUGGGUACGGAGCGGCAAUUGAUAUGACCGAGGCGGCGCUGCCGGUGAGGUGUAGGUGCUUCGAAUCUCAUGAGCGUAUC
rnacentral:misc_RNA from 1 species